GAUGAACGCUGGCGGCGUGCUUAACACAUGCAAGUCGAACGAUUAAACUGGCUUCGGCCAGAUAUAGAGUGGCGAACGGGUGAGUAACACGUGACCAACCUGCCCCGCGCUCCGGGACAACCGCUGGAAACGGCGGCUAAUACCGGAUGCUCCGGGGAGGCCCCAUGGCCUCCCCGGGAAAGCCUUAACGGCGCGGGAUGGGGUCGCGGCCCAUUAGGUAGACGGCGGGGUAACGGCCCACCGUGCCCGCGAUGGGUAGCCGGACUGAGAGGUCGACCGGCCACAUUGGGACUGAGAUACGGCCCAGACUCCUACGGGAGGCAGCAGUGGGGAAUUUUGCGCAAUGGGGGCAACCCUGACGCAGCAACGCCGCGUGCGGGACGAAGGCCUUCGGGUUGUAAACCGCUUUCAGCAGGGAAGACUU
rnacentral:rRNA from 1 species